rnacentral:rRNA from 1 species
UACGGAGGGGGUUAGCGUUGUUCGGAAUUACUGGGCGUAAAGCGCGCGUAAGGCGGACUAUUAAGUCAGAGGUGAAAUCCCGGGGCUCAACCCCGGAACUGCCUUUGAUACUGGUAGUCUUGAGUUCGAGAGAGGUAAGUGGAAUUCCGAGUGUAGAGGUGAAAUUCGUAGAUAUUCGGAGGAACACCAGUGGCGAAGGCGGCUUACUGGCUCGAUACUGACGCUGAGGUGACGAAAGUGUGGGAGCAAACAGGAUUAGAUACCCGGAGUC